rnacentral:rRNA from 1 species
UAACUCCGGGAAACCGGGGUUAAUACCGGAUAACAUUUUGCACCGCUUGGUGCGAAAUUGAAAGGCGGCUUCGGCUGUCACUUAUAUAUGGACCUGCGGCGCAUUAUCUAUUUGGUGAGGUAACGGCUCACCAAGGCGACGAUGCGUAGCCGACCUGAGAGGGUGAUCGGCCACACUGGGACUGAGACACGGCCCAGACUCCUACGGGAGGCAGCAGUAGGGAAUCUUCCGCAAUGGACGAAAGUCUGACGGAGCAACGCCGCGUGAGCGAUGAAGGCCUUCGGGUCGUAAAGCUCUGUUGUUAGGGAAGAACAAGCGCUAGUUGAAUAAGCUGGCACCUUGACGGCACCUAACCAGAAAGCCACGGCUAACUACGUGCCAGCAGCCGCGGUAAUACGUAGGUGGCAAGCGUUAUCCGGAAUUAUUGGGCGUAAAGCGCGCGCAGGCGGUUUCUUAAGUCUGAUGUGAAAGCCCCCGGCUCAACCGGGGAGGGUCAUUGGAAACUGGGGAGACUUGAGUGCAGAAGAGGAGAGUGGAAUUCCACGUGUAGCGGUGAAAUGCGUAGAGAUGUGGAGGAACACCAGUGGCGAAGGCGACUCUCUGGUCUGUAACUGACGCUGAGGAGCGAAAGCGUGGGGAGCGAACAGGAUUAGAUACCCUGGUAGUCCACGCCGUAAACGAUGAGUGCUAAGUGUUAGGGGGUUUCCGCCCCUUAGUGCUGCAGCUAACGCAUUAAGCACUCCGCCUGGGGAGUACGGUCGCAAGACUGAAACUCAAAGGAAUUGACGGGGGCCCGCACAAGCGGUGGAGCAUGUGGUUUAAUUCGAAGCAACGCGAAGAACCUUACCAGGUCUUGACAUCCUCUGACAAUCCUAGAGAUAGGACGUCCCCUUCGGGGGCAGAGUGACAGGUGGUGCAUGGUUGUCGUCAGCUCGUGUCGUGAGAUGUUGGGUUAAGUCCCGCAACGAGCGCAACCCUUGAUCUUAGUUGCCAGCAUUCAGUUGGGCACUCUAAGGUGACUGCCGGUGACAAACCGGAGGAAGGUGGGGAUGACGUCAAAUCAUCAUGCCCCUUAUGACCUGGGCUACACACGUGCUACAAUG